rnacentral:tRNA from 1 species
GGGGGUGUAACUCAAUGGUAGAGUAUAUGCUUUGCAAGCAUGAGGUUAUCGGUUCAAAUCCGAUCACCUCCA